UACGUAGGGGGCAAGCGUUGUCCGGAUUUAUUGGGCGUAAAGAGCUCGUAGGCGGCUUGUUGCGUCGACUGUGAAAACCCGCGGCUUAACUGCGGGCUUGCAGUUGAUACGGGCAGGCUAGAGUUCGGUAGGGGAGACUGGAAUUCCUGGUGUAGCGGUGAAAUGCGCAGAGUAUCAGGAGGAACACCGGUGGCGAAGGCGGGUCUCUGGGCCGAUGACUGACGUGAGGAGCGAAAGCGUGGGGAGCGAACAGGAAUUAGAAACCCGAG
rnacentral:rRNA from 1 species